rnacentral:rRNA from 1 species
UGAACGCUGGCGGCGUGCUUAACACAUGCAAGUCGAACGCUGAAGCUCCCAGCUUGCUGGGGGUGGAUGAGUGGCGAACGGGUGAGUAUCACGUGAGUAACCUGCCCUUGACUCUGGGAUAAGCCCGGGAAACUGGGUCUAAUACUGGAUAGGACUGGCCAUCGCAUGGUGGUUGGUUGAAAGCUUUUGCGGUUUUGGAUGGACUCGCGGCCUAUCAGCUUGUUGGUGGGGUAAUGGCCUACCAAGGCUUUGACGGGUAGCCGGCCUGAGAGGGUGACCGGCCACACUGGGACUGAGACACGGCCCAGACUCCUACGGGAGGCAGCAGUGGGGGAUAUUGCACAAUGGGCGCAAGCCUGAUGCAGCGACGCCGCGUGAGGGAUGACGGCCUUCGGGUUGUAAACCUCUUUCAGUUGGGAAGAAGCCUUUCGGGGUGACGGUACCUUCAGAAGAAGCACCGGCUAACUACGUGCCAGCCGCCGC